UCCUAAAAUCCGAUUUGUCUCUCUGUUUCUCCCUCUCUCCUCUCUGAGAAUUGUUUCUUGUUGUUGACUCGAUGUCGAGCAAUCCGGGUUUCUUCUCUCGCGUCAAGGAGGCCACCCAGUCUCUCGCUGCUGGCCGUCGUCCGUGGAGUGAAUUCCUGGACCUGACCUCACUCAACCUUCCCUCUUCCGUCUCCGACGCCACAACCCGAAUCACCCAAAACCUCACCCACUUCCGUGUCAAUUACACCCUAAUCGUCGUCCUGAUUCUCUUCCUGAGCAUCCUCUUCUACCACCCUCUAGCGAUCUUGCCCUUCGUGAUCGUCUUCUUGGGUUGGCUCUUCCUCUACUGCUUGCGCGAUGAUUCUGAUCCUUUCGUUGUCUUUAAUUGCAACGUUGACGAUUCCGUUGUGUUCUCUGUGCUUGUCGCGGUCUCGAUUUUUACUGUUUUCUUCACCCACACUUGGGCCAAUGUGGCGGCCGCGGUUGUAAUUGAUCUCGCUUUGGUGGUUUUGCAUGCUGUGUUGCGGAGUACGGACGAUCUUGUUAUGGAGGAUUUUGUGUCUCCAUAUGGGGACUUGACUGAUAGUCCGCGAGGAUCUUAUGCCGGUAUUUGAUUACGUGUCUCGAAGGUACUUCUGUAAAUCAUUUACGUAGCUGAGAACUCUUGGAACGAAAGAAGAAGUCCCUUUAUGUUCAGUAGAUUAGUGAUGCUUUUGUUAUCUGGUCGUGGAGGAAAUUCUUGUAGGUGUAUGGUCCUUUGCCUCACUCUCGCCAUUUCCACCACCAUAACCACCUCCCUCCUCCCUAACCAGCCUGCUCACCCUCUGAGGAUCCAACGCAAACCGGGUUCCUUGUGCCGUGGACUGGUCAAACUUCACUGCCUGCGGUGGGUGUCCUGCAGAUGAGGUUUGUGAUGAAAAUGUUUUCUUAGAAGGGCUUGAUGCCUUCAUGCCUGAAAUGUUGCAUUAGAGGUUUUUUUUUUUUUUGUUAUGAGAAUAACAUGUGUUCUCGUACAAUACACAUGUGCUUAGGUGGCUUACUUCUGUUGGCUAGAGUCGGUUAACUGUUCUGUUAAUAUGUGCUUAGGUGGCUAACUUUCAUUAGCUAGAGUCGGUGCUUAUAUAUGGUAUAUUAGCUAGUUA